rnacentral:lncRNA from 1 species
GUGUGUUUCUGCUGUAGGGUGCACACCCUAAUACAAUAGUCUCCGUAGGCCUAUGUGUGGAUCACAGAUAUGAUAAACACGGGAUUAAUAUUACAAUUCCUGGUUAGGAGCUCCGGGGGGCUGUGUCUCUGCGGUCUGGCUGUGUAUCAGACAGUGACACUCGCUGCUCCGCCCGCACAGUGAAUCAGGCCCCGUGUUUACCGCCGUAGUCUGAGGUCACGGUGACUGUGGCUGACGGAGGCGGCCAUGCCGUGAGUGUCCGCCAGGUGGCGCUGCGCUGUCAGCCAAUCUGGGUGAUUGACGCUAAAAUGACGCGUAUUCGGUCACAUUCCGCCAUGUCCGGGCACUGAGCGGUCUGUCCCGGCCCGGGGGGCCAUGGCUGGACAGCAAAGCGAUGCACACCGCCGCUAUCCCCACCCCCCCAUCCUCCUCUCCUCAUCCGGAUGUCUCGGCGGAAGGGGAACUGCCCUCCCGCCAUUCCACCGCAGCACGUCACCAUGCCAGUGACGUCACGGAGCACGCUGACGUCAGGCAGCAGGGCCUAGCCGGACGUGUUCCCAGUGUCCCCCCCGAGCUGAGGAGCGGGCUCCGUGCGGCGGGGACUCGGAGGAUCGGGCGGUGACGGUGAGCGCGGCGCUUCUUCCUGUGACUCGGGCCGGGCCGGGAGGCGGAUCCCCCGUGGGGACCCGAGACGUUCACAUCGGUGAUUGGCUGCAGCUUGUCCCCGAGCUGUGAGUUCACAGGACGCAGGUAAUUCCAGCCAAACAGCCGGCCUGGAGGAGGAGCAGAGACCGGGGAACACACACCGGCCACCCCGGGGGCAGGGGAGAUACACCUCCUCCUGGGGGCAAUAGUGUCAUCC